rnacentral:rRNA from 1 species
UGGGGAAUUUUGGACAAUGGGCGAAAGCCUGAUCCAGCAAUGCCGCGUGUGUGAAGAAGGCCUUCGGGUUGUAAAGCACUUUUGUCCGGAAAGAAAUCCUUGGCUCUAAUACAGUCGGGGGAUGACGGUACCGGAAGAAUAAGCACCGGCUAACUACGUGCCAGCAGCCGCGGUAAUACGUAGGGUGCAAGCGUUAAUCGGAAUUACUGGGCGUAAAGCGUGCGCAGGCGGUUUGCUAAGACCGAUGUGAAAUCCCCGGGCUCAACCUGGGAACUGCAUUGGUGACUGGCAGGCUAGAGUAUGGCAGAGGGGGGUAGAAUUCCACGUGUAGCAGUGAAAUGCGUAGAGAUGUGGAGGAAUACCGAUGGCGAAGGCAGCCCCCUGGGCCAAUACUGACGCUCAUGCACGAAAGCGUGGGGAGCAAACAGGAUUAGAUACCCUGGUAGUCCACGCCCUAAACGAUGUCAACUAGUUGUUGGGGAUUCAUUUCCUAGUAACGUAGCUAACGCGUGAAGUUGACCGCCUGGGGAGUACGGUCGCAAGAUU